rnacentral:rRNA from 1 species
CGGGGUGCAGCAGGCGCGAAAACUUUACAAUGCCGGCAACGGCGAUAAGGGGACCUCGAGUGCCAGGUUACAAAUCUGGCUGUCGUGAUGCCUAAAAAGCAUUGCAUAGCAAGGGCCGGGCAAGACCGGUGCCAGCCGCCGCGGUAACACCGGCGGCUCGAGUGGCAACCGUUAUUAUUGGGUCUAAAGGGUCUGUAGCCGGCCGGAUAAGUCUCUUGGGAAAUCCAGCAGCUCAACUGUUGGGCUUUCAGGAGAUACUGUCUGGCUCGAGGCCGGGAGAGGUGAGAGGUACUUCAGGGGUAGGGGUGAAAUCUUGUAAUCCUUGAAGGACCACCAGUGGCGAAGGCGUCUCACCAGAACGGACCUGACGGCAAGGGACGAAAGCUAGGGGCACGAACCGGAUUAGAUACCCGGGUAGUCCUAGCCGUAAACGAUACUCGCUAGGUGUCGGCCACGGUGCGACCGUUGUCGGUGCCGUAGGGAAGCCGUGAAGCGAGCCACCUGGGAAGUACGGCCGCAAGGCUGAAACUUAAAGGAAUUGGCGGGGGAGCAC